UCAUUUCACGGGUGAGGAGACUUAGAGAGACGAAGCCACUUGUCCAAGGUCACGCCGCUGGUGAGUGGGAGCGCCCAGCAUGGAACCCAGCACCGUCCAGCCGCGGAGCCCGCGUUCCACCCUCUGUGCCGCCGCCGCCUCCUGUGGGAGAGGGAGGUGGUCGGGAGAGUGCACGCCGGUGCCGCCUGGGCUCCAGACUGGGCGCGACCACUAACCGGGUUAAUGACCUCGGGCUUAACUUAACCCCUUCGCUGCUCUGGGCCUGCAUUUCUCCACCGGUGAAAUGAGGUAAUGCCAGCCCUGCCUACUCUUCAUGGGCGUGUAAGGAGCAUCAGAGAUGGUGUAUGUGGAACUGCUUUGCAAGUAGUGCUGCGCUGAGCGCACUGAGGAUUAUGAUUGCUGUUCCAAAGGCGUGGAAGGAGGCAGAGGGGCGGGGUGGGGAAGAGGCCCAGAGCAGUCACAAAGGCUUGCUCUGACCACAGGCCCCCUAAAUGAGGAGUGAGGUAAGGAGUAGGUAGCAGGUCUUUCUCCCCUUUGGAGAAAACCUCACCCCCUUUUUUGGGCUGCCCCUCAGGGUCUCCAUCACCCAACUCCAUGCUUCGAGUCCUGCUCUCUGCUCAGACCUCCCCUGCUCGGCUGUCUGGCCUGCUGCUGAUCCCUCCAGUACAGCCCUGCUGUUUGGGACCCAGCAAAUGGGGGGACCGGCCUCUUGGAGGAGGCCCCAGUGCAGGUCCUGUGCAAGGACUGCAGCGGCUUCUGGAACAGGCGAAGAGCCCUGGGGAGCUGCUGCGCUGGCUGGGCCAGAACCCCAGCAAGGUGCGCGCCCACCACUACUCGGUGGCGCUUCGUCGUCUGGGCCAGCUCUUGGGGUCUCGGCCACGGCCCCCUCCUGUGGAGCAGGUCACACUGCAGGACUUGAGUCAGCUCAUCAUCCGAAACUGCCCCUCCUUUGACAUUCACACCAUCCACGUGUGUCUGCACCUUGCAGUCUUACUUGGUGAGGAGGGGCUUGAGGUGGGCGCCUGGGGGGCUAGGUGUUAAUGAAGAAUAGGGAGAACAGUAGAGGACCACGGACAGAGACCCAGCCUCUCAGGCGUUUGCCCAGGAACGCUUGCUCCUGCUCCCGUCCUAUGUCUGCGGCAGACAUCAUGAGUCGAACGCACUCCUUCCAGCCUCACUAGGGUGCCACCCCAAAUUCCUGCUAAUAGAGUGCCCUAGGAAGCCAAUUUGUCACAAUUGGUACGAGAUGAAAGUCUAUUUGCCGUCUUUGUAUGUACUCCCUACAGACCGUUUUGAUACCUCAUAGCCACAUGAUACUUUACAUUUCUCUAGUGUUUGUACUUAAACGCUAGCACACCUUCCCACUCAGGAAACGGAGAGGAGAAAGGUGGAGAAUUCACCAAGUAACCCCAUGAUAAGAACAGCAGCACAGCUCUGUUACCAGGCUGCCUUUUACCUCUCCCCCCUCAGGCUUUCCAUCUGAUGGUCCCCUGGUGUGUGCCCUGGAACAGGAGCGAAGGCUCCGCGUCCCUCCGAAGCCACCUCCCCCUUUGCAGCCCCUUCUCCGAGGUGGGCAAGGGUUGGAAGCUGCUCUAAGCUGCCCCCGUUUUCUGCGGUAUCCACGGCAGCAUCUGAUCAGCAGCCUGGCAGAGGCAAGGCCAGAGGAACUGACUCCCCACGUGAUGGUGCUCCUGGCCCAGCACCUGGCCCGGCACCGGUUGCGGGAGCCCCAGCUUCUGGAAGCCAUUGCCCACUUCCUGGUGGUUCAGGAAACCCAGCUCAGCAGCAAGGUGGUACAGAAGUUGGUCCUGCCCUUUGGGCGGCUGAACUACCUGCCCCUGGAACAGCAGUUUAUGCCCUGCCUUGAGAGGAUCCUGGCUCGGGAAGCAGGGGUGGCACCCCUGGCUACAGUCAACAUCUUGAUGUCACUGUGCCAACUGCGGUGCCUGCCCUUCAGAGCCCUGCACUUUGUUUUUUCCCCUGGCUUCAUCAACUACAUCAGUGGCACCCCUCAUGCUCUGAUUGUGCGUCGCUACCUCUCCCUGCUGGACACGGCCGUGGAGCUGGAGCUCCCAGGAUACCGGGGUCCCCGCCUUCCCCGAAGGCAGCAAGUGCCCAUCUUUCCCCAGCCUCUCAUCACCGACCGUGCCCGCUGCAAGUACAGGUGGAUGGGGCAGCCUGGGGCAAGGGGAGGGGCCGGCCUGGGACCAGCAGAGUGGAAAAGCCAGAGGGACCAUGAAGCGCCAAAGCUAAGGAGCUCUCGGCCACCAUAAAACUGGGCCCUGAAGCAGCAGAGGGCUUUGCCCAGCGUGGUGGCACUAGACUGGGACAGACUAGGAUGAGGUGCCGGGCCCUUCCUGCUACUGGUGUCCUUUCUCCUCAGUCACAAGGACAUAGUAGCUGAGGGGUUGCGCCAGCUGCUGGGGGAGGAGAAAUACCGCCAGGACCUGACUGUGCCUCCAGGCUACUGCACAGGUGAGCAAGGGGCAGGCGGCAGGCCCAGGGAGACGGAGCCCUGGCUAAGGCCGCCGGCCCUGCUCCCCCUCCAGACUUCCUGCUGUGCGUCAGCAGCUCUGGUGCUGUGCUUCCCGUGAGGACCCAGGACCCCUUCCUGCCAUACCCACCAAGGUCCUGCCCACAGGGCCAGGCCGCCUCUAGCCCCACUACUCGAGACCCUGCCCAGAGGUAAGGGAGGCAGGGUGGGGGAGCCCUGGCCACCUUGCCCGCCAUGCCCUGAGCCACAUCCCUCCCCCUGCAGGGUGGUGCUGGUGUUGCGGGAACGCUGGCAUUUCUGCCGGGACGGCAGGGUGCUGCUGGGCUCGAGAGCCCUGAGGGAGCGGCACCUAGGCCUGAUGGGCUACCAGCUCCUGCCGGUGAGUGGCCCUGGCCUGGCCCGUGGCGUAUCCUCACUCCGGGCCUGCGGGUAACCUGCCGCCAUCUCCUCUCCCCACAGCUACCCUUCGAGGAACUGGAGUCCCAGAGAGGCCUGCCCCAGCUCAAGAGCUACCUGAGGCAGAAGCUCCAGGCCCUGGGCCUGCGCUGGGGGCCUGAAGGGGGCUGAGGGGAUGAUGUGGGGUUCAGGAUGGCCCCCCCAUGGGGGGUGGAUGAUUUGCACUUUGGUUCCCUAUGUUUUGAUUUCUCAUUAAAGUUCCUUUCCUUC
rnacentral:sRNA from 1 species